GUGCUGGCUUUGGCAGCACAUAUACUAAAAUUAGAACAAUACGGAGAUUAGCAUGGCCCUUGUGCAAGGAUGACAUGCAAAUUCAUGAAGCGUUCCAUAUUUUU